rnacentral:rRNA from 1 species
GACGGAGGAGGCAAGCGUUAUCCGGAAUUAUUGGGCGUAAAGCGUCCGCAGGUGGCUUUCCAAGUCUGCCGUCAAAGCCCGAGGCUUAACCUCGGAUCGGCGGUGGAAACUGGAUCGCUAGAGUGCGUCAGGGGUAGGGGGAAUUCCCGGUGUAGCGGUGAAAUGCGUAGAUAUCGGGAAGAACACCAGUGACGAAAGUGCCCUACUGGGACGUUACUGACACUCAUGGACGAAAGCUAGGGGAGCGAAAGGG